AGUGAACGCUGGCGGUAGGCCUAACACAUGCAAGUCGAACGGCAGCACAGUAAGAGCUUGCUCUUACGGGUGGCGAGUGGCGGACGGGUGAGGAAUACAUCGGACUCUACUUUUUCGUGGGGGAUAACGUAGGGAAACUUACGCUAAUACCGCAUACGACCUACGGGUGAAAGCAGGGGAUCUUCGGACCUUGCGCGAUUGAAUGAGCCGAUGUCGGAUUAGCUAGUUGGGGGGGUAAAGGCCCACCAAGGCGACGAUCCGUAGCUGGUCUGAGAGGAUGAUCGGCCACACUGGAACUGAGACACGGUCCAGACUCCUACGGGAGGCAGCAGUGGGGAAUAUUGGACAAUGGGCGCAAGCCUGAUCCAGCCAUACCGCGUGGGUGAAGAAGGCCUUCGGGUUGUAAAGCCCUUUUGUUGGGAAAGAAAAGCAGCAGGUUAAUACCCCGCUGUUCUGACGGUACCCAAAGAAUAAGCACCGGCUAACUUCGUG
rnacentral:rRNA from 1 species